rfam:Nicotiana attenuata strain TT chromosome 2, whole genome shotgun sequence.
CAACUUGAGAGGUUUACUGGCCGGUUGUUGUUUUGCUAUCGACAUAUCUGCUUACUGAAGUUCUUUCAUUU